rnacentral:lncRNA from 1 species
UUACAGAAAAUCCCUCAUUAUUUGCAAUCUUUUCUUGUUAUUCUUCGUUGCUGUUUUGUCUGCUUCUGUCUAUUGCAGGUACGGAGGAGUCCAGCUGGCGGUACGGAGAUGCACACGAGGGCAGAGACUCGGCACGCGCCUGGGAGGGUCUCGUGUGUGUGGCUAGCGGCGGCUGAGGCAGAAGGUUGCCGAAGGCUAGGGUUUCAGUCUCAGUUAGGCUAGGUGUUGGGCUAGAGUUUAGGUUAGUGGGCUAAUUAAUAGGCUGUUUGUAUUGGGCCUAGUGGGUCUAGUGUAAUGGGUUUACUGUAGUGGGACUUUAAAAUGGACUUUGAAUUUUAAUUGAAUUUGUUUGUUUUUAUUUUUAUUUUUAUUGGGUUUAUUUGCUAACGGGACCCGGGCAAAAAUGGGUAUUACAGUGUAUAUUCUUGAAAUUGUUAAAUUCAUGUGUCUUGUCUACCGUUUGGAUAGUUUUUGC